rnacentral:tRNA from 1 species
GGGGUUGUAGCUCAGUGGUAAAGCGCUUGCGUAGCAUGCAGGAGGCACUGGGUUCAAUUCUCAGCACCACA